rnacentral:misc_RNA from 1 species
GUAAAUAUUGGUUAUGCUAAUGCAUACUGAACAAGUGGGACUAAAUUCAUUGCUAACCCUGGCGGCUUAGAAUAUGUCUUAUAGGAGGAAAGUAAAUCGAGAGCAAUCUGUUUAGUUGGAUUUUUGGUCUCCUGUUAGUAGUGUUGACAGUUAUUUCGAUUUUGUUAGCUCUUUAGUCCUAGCUUAGUACUCAUCUAAGGGAACUAACUU